ACUCGGACGAGGAACGGCUGCAUUUUGAAGAACGAAUUGAUCCCGCCGAGGAUACAAGUUCGGAGAAUGUGUCUGCAUCAUGCUCUCCUUCGCCAGCACCUCGCAGAGGGACACGCAGGUGUCGUUCAGUUCUCAGUGCGAUCGAGAAUCAUACUGAGAAUGUGUCUGCAUCAUGCUCUCCUUCGCCAGCACCUCGCAGAGGGACACGCAGGUGUCGUUCAGUUCUCAGUGCGAUCGAG